CCUACGGGGUGCAGCAGUGGGGGAUAUUGCACAAUGGGGGAAACCCUGAUGCAGCGACGCCGCGUGUGGGAAGACGGUCCUCUGGAUUGUAAACCACUGUCCCCAGGGACGAAGCUGACGGUACCUGGGGAGGAAGCUCCGGCAAACUACGUGCCAGCAGCCGCGGUAAUACGUAGGGGGCGAGCGUUGUCCGGAAUUACUGGGUGAAAAGGGAGCGUUGGGGGGACUGCAAGUUGGGUGUCAAAUCUACCGGGUCAACCGGUAGCCGCACUCAAAACUGCAGUUCGUGAGUGAAGGAGGGGCAGGCGGAAUUCCUAGUGUAGCGGUGAAAUGCGUAGAUAUUAGGAGGAACACCAGUGGCGAAGGCGGCCUGCUGGGCUUUUACUGACGCUGAGGCUCGAAAGUGUGGGGAGCAAACAGGAUUAGAUACCCUUGUAGUC
rnacentral:rRNA from 1 species